GAUGAAAACGUAGCGAAAUGCGAUAAGUAAUGUGAAUUGCAGAAUCCAGUGAAUCAUCGAAUCUUUGAACGCACAUUGCGCCCGCCAGUAUUCUGGCGGGCAUGCCUGUCCGAGCGUCAUUUCAACCAUCAAGCCCCAGGCUUGUGUUGGGGACCUGCGUCCGACGCAGGCCCUGAAAACCAGUGGCGGGCUCGCUGUCCACACCGAGCGUAGUAACUAACCUCGCUACGGGAGCGGCGCGGGCGCCUGCCGUAAAACCCCCAAUUUUCACAAGGUUGACCUCGGAUCAGGUAGGAAUACCCGCUGAACUUAAGCAUAUCAAUAAGCGGAGGA
rnacentral:misc_RNA from 1 species